rnacentral:rRNA from 1 species
GGCAAACGUUGGCGGCGUGCCUAAUACAUGCAAGUCGAACGGAACUGCAGUAGCAAUAUUGCAGUUUAGUGGCAAACGGGUGAGUAAUGCAUGGGUAACGUUCACCAAAGACCGGGACAACAGCCCGAAAGGGUUGCUAAUACCGGAUGUGGUUGCAGGGACCCAAGUUCCUGCAAUUAAACGAUGGCCUCUACUUGUAAGCUAUCGCUUUGGAAUCGGCCCAUGUCCAAUUAGCUUGUUGGUGAGGUAAUGGCUCACCAAGGCUGCGAUUGGUAGCCGGUCUGAGAGGAUGUACGGCCACACUGGGACUGCGACACGGCCCAGACUCCUACGGGGGGCAGCAGUAGGGAAUCUUCCACAAUGGACGAAAGUCUGAUGGAGCGACGCCGCGUAGAGGAUGAAGGUCUUCGGAUUGUAAACUCUUUUCGUUUGGGAACAAGUGUAUCUGCGUGAAUAAUGCAGGUAUUUGAUGGUACCAAAGGAAGAAGCUACGGCUAACUCUGUGCCAGCAGCCGCCGUAAUAC